GUGGGGAAUCUUCCGCAAUGGACGAAAGUCUGACGGAGCAACGCCGCGUGAGUGAUGAAGGUCUUCGGAUUGUAAAGCUCUGUUAAUCGGGACGAAAGAGCCUAGUGUGAAUAAUGCUAGGAAGUGACGGUACCGGAAUAGAAAGCCACGGCUAACUACGUGCCAGCAGCCGCGGUAAUACGUAGGUGGCAAGCGUUGUCCGGAAUUAUUGGGCGUAAAGCGCGCGCAAGCGGAUCUGCCAGUCUGUCUUAAAAGUUCGGGGCUUAACCCCGUGAUGGGAUGGAAACUACAGAUCUAGAGUAUCGGAGAGGAAAGUGGAAUUCCUAGUGUAGCGGUGAAAUGCGUAGAUAUUAGGAAGAACACCAGUGGCGAAGGCGACUUUCUGGACGAAAACUGACGCUGAGGCGCGAAAGCCAGGGGAGCGAACGGGAUUAGAAACCCCAGUAGUCC
rnacentral:rRNA from 1 species